ACAGAGAAAGCUUAGGGCAGACUUCCUCUGCCCCUCCAGGAAAUGAGUAUGGCUGAGGAGGUGAAAAUGUAGCUCAUGAGAAAUGUCACAGGAGGAAUACUGAAGUCUUUACCCCUUGUUGGAAAUUUAGAUUCCAUGAGGCUGGGCCUCCACAGAAGAAGGAGGUAUAACUUCCACUGGAGUGAAAAACAAUCAUGACAGAGAGGGCACCUGGAUUUGAACCAGGGACCUCUUGAUCUGUAGUCAGAUGCUCAACCCCUGAGCUAUACCCCUAGCUGCCUACAUCUUUUUCACAAGACUCUUCCAUAGUUGCAGUCUUUCCUAAGCUGUGCUCUCGCCAUCCUGUGUCUCCCUGGGGAGCUUCCUGAGCUGCUUCUCUGGGCACCCACCUGCACACCUGUCAGAACUGCUCCCCUUCCUCAGAGCCUGCGUACCUAUGCCCACCCAAACACCCCUCUUCCCAGAGCACGUCUCGCCCCCUUCCCUCAUUAUUAUUAUUAUUACUGAAUACAGGAGGAACUCUACCCAGCCCCUUAGUAUCUAAGAUGCUUCAUUUCUUUUUUCUUUUUCUUCAUCUCCCACUCUCUGUUUUGGUUUCCUUUCCAGGGGACCAAGGCCUGGGACCUAUGGGAGGCUGUCAGCGUCUUGGCUUACCCCAGGAGAGGCGCCUGGCCAAGAAAGCUGCAGCCCCAGCUUUCCAGGGGAAGAGUGGGCAGAGGUGAGUGCCUCACCUGGGCCAGACCCGGGUACCAGAUGCUGGAGCAAGCACAGAGAUGACCUGAAGCCUGCCCUUGAGAAUGUCAAGCACACAUGCCGUCAAGGGCCCACGCCAGGCACGCACGGAGCCCAGGACAGCCUGGAGGAGGGAGACCCUCAAAGCAUCUCACAGCCGCGAUGUGUGGCCAAGGGUCCUGGGGGCUGUAACUUGGCGUGAUGAUCCCUCGUCUCCACAGUGGAUUCUUGGUGGGUGUCAGCUCUCUAGACUUCACUGGGACUCGCCAUAUAACCUGCUAUGAACAUCUGCCUGGUAAUGUAGAGGUUAUAGAGAAUAGAGAUGCAUGUACACCCUAAAAGGAAGAAGUAAACUUAAACCCUGUGCCCUGUCAAAGGUGUAAGCAUGGAAUGUGUCAAUGGAUAAAUUAAACCCACAGAGUUUGGAUUGAGACUGGGAAACAUUGACGCAAGGGAGAAGGGUGGGCGGGACUUGCCCACGGCAGGGGGUGGGGUUUGAAGCAGCUUCCUCUUCAGAAACCCCCCUGGGCAGCCCCCAGGGCCGGGGAGGGCUGAGCAGGUGGGUUUAGAAGCUACCCCUCCCACUCCAACCCCAGCCCGUCUGCCUCUGAUUAUUUUACAUAUUUAGCUUCUGAAAAUGGUUUUAUUUAAACAAGGGAUUCUGGGGUUAAAAACAAAAUCUUGAAAACCCUGACAGAUGAAGUGCAGAAAACUUGGCUGAUCAUUAUAAAUUUGAUGAAGAUUUUGUGUCCUGACUCUGAAAGAGAUUCUAAAAUAUAGUACUAUAGAUUUAGUUUCUACAGAGAGGUGAUGAACUCUUCCAGACAACCCAGUUAAUUUCACAGGUAUGGAGAUGGUUAAAAGUCCUCAUACUGGGUGGCAAAUGAAUUUCUUCUGGUACAUUUACAGAUGAGACUUAAUACUUCCUCUUGGAGAAAUAACGGGCUCAUUCAAUUCUGAGAUAAGUUCUUAUUCUUUGGAACUCAGAAGUUCCCUUUACAGUAAGAAAAAACAACAGUGCUACUUUCAUUUGGGGGAAAAGGGUUUUAAAUUAAAUUCUGAAAUUCAGUUAUAUGACAAUAACACACCAAUGCGAGUUAAUCCUUUUGGUAAAAUGAACACCCAAGCAUGUUUGUAUGCAGUUUAGUUUAUGCUUGUUCCAAGACUCUGAAGAGCUGGCACGGAUUUGGGCAAGAAAAAUGUGUCUAUUUCUUCUCAGUAUGUCUACCAUUUGAAUAAAUAUACUAGGGGCUGGCGUUAUUUGGAUACUGACUUGCUUUUUCAGUAGUACUCUGAAACAUUUGAGGGUUUUUUUUUUUUCCAAACUUAUUUCAAGAUGUAUCACAAACCUUUGGCUUGGUAAGGCAUUGAUUAAUUCAGGAUAAGCUAAAGUGGGAAAUGAAUAAUAAUUUUAGUUGGACAUUUGUUAUUAUUAAAUUGUUUAGGGGGUAGCUUUGCAAACCAACUUACUGCCUUUACUUUUGGACAAAAUUAAUGGGGCCAGUUUCAGUGAUGACGAUCAACCCACAUAAGAUAAUACACACCUAAAAUUUUUAUCUUAGAUUUUAGAAUUUGUAUAAUUGACCUGCAGAAAAUUUGGUCAUGGAACUAUGGUUCUCGGAUCAUACCUUCAGUGGAAGAAUGGCAAAUGUCAUGCUUCAUAACCUGUUUAAUUUUCUUAAUUGAAUCGAACUUAAAUCCAAUCAAUUUCAAUCCUUUGAGGGCGUAUCUUUAGUAUUUGUGUAUCUGUAAACACAGAACUGAUUGAAUGUAGUUCUUAAAAAGCUUUUAUGCUUAUUAGACUAUACUGAUUCUAAAAGGAAACAAUUUGUUGUCCCGAUAUUCAGUAUUUAAAUAAAAUUGCUAGUGAGGAUAGAAAUUUUCAUUGGUACAUUUUGUCAUUAAAAUUCAACUUUCCAUUACCCUAGUUAAUGGUCAGUAGUGAUGCUCCUAUCCUAACGUACUCGAGUUAUUUUGAGAACUUGUUUGUUAUUUCAUAAAGAGAAGCAGUGAGUUUCAUUCAUUGGUUGCGGUGGAAGGAAUGGUGAGAACCCAAGAGGUAGCACAAGCCUAAAGGAUUUGAGUCACGGCAUGAGCACUGUUUUAUUGGAGAGCAGGUGCAUCGUCCUUAUGAAAAUCUUCACCCCGUUCCUUCUCUGACUGUUGAACAAAUGGCUUCUUAGGUCCCAACAUAUAAACAAACACAGAAAGGGAGCCCCUCGCCUUAACACAUAAGCCUCUUCCCAAAGUCCCCACGGA
ensembl:lncRNA